rnacentral:rRNA from 1 species
UACAGAGGUCCCAAGCGUUGUUCGGAUUCAUUGGGCGUAAAGGGUGCGUAGGUGGCGUCGUAAGUCGGGUGUGAAAUUUCGGAGCCCAACUCCGAAACUGCAUUCGAUACUGCGGUGCUUGAGGACUGGAGAGGAGACUGGAAUUUACGGUGUAGCAGUGAAAUGCGUAGAGAUCGUAAGGAAGACCAGUGGCGAAGGCGGGUCUCUGGACAGUUCCUGACACUGAGGCACGAAGGCCAGGGGAGCAAACGGG